CAACUGAGACUCGUGAUCAGUUUAUCUUACAAAGGAUCAAAAUAGUAACUUAUCAUCGUAUGUAAGGAAUAGGAGAGUUUGUGGUGUGCAAAGAAUAGGUGUGGUACAUACGUGUGAUGAAAAAAUAGAGAAAUUGAGGAAGUAAAAAAAGCAAAACAGAAGAAGAACCAUUCAACACGUUCGUUAGUGUUCGUCAUCGUCUUCACCGAGCCACGACCGGUAAGAAGAGGAGACAAUCGUCAUCGUCUUUGUGUUUUCAAUGUUAAUUCUCCUUUUACCACGACGACGGUAUCGGAUGUGGUGUGUCAAAUCUUCCUGGUUUAGUAUUUUAAAUCACGGAACAACCUCAGUCGAAUAUGGUGAGCAGACUUGUCCGCUGAACUGCACGUACGUAGCUAGCGAGCGAGCGAGCCGCUCUUUGUGAGACGAGACGGAGAAGUGUUCCCCUGUUUAUUUGGAGACCCAGUUUCUCAGACGAGCUAUACGGGGACUUGGUGAGGCCAAGGCGACAUCCGAGGGACAGCGCUCUUCUCGAGGUGCCUACAACGAUGACAUAAACUCACCUAGUCGUCGUGUCGCCUGAGGUCGCACAACACACGGACCUUUCUCUCUUUAGGGCAUUCUCUUUGACUUGAAGAGAAAAGAAGAGAAUUUUUUGUGUUGUGAUGUUCCUUUAUCUUUAGAGAAGACGUUAGGAAAACGUGUCCCUUGGUAGGAGCGUAGUUUCUUAUUUGAAUGAAAAAAUGUGUUUUUAGUGUGAUGUUUUUAUCGGUGUCGACCAAGAACGGCGACAACACGUCACCCUAUCCUCCCCCAACUCCCCUCCUAACGAGGCGCCACGACUACGUCCAACCGAUCGCCGUGCGCAACCCCAACCUGACGGCUUCCCUCCGCGGGAGACGAUGUACCCCCUACGGGCUGUCACACCUCGAGGGCUACUCACGAAAGCUGCGCCCCUCCUAUACCACCUUGCGCAGCAGCCCGGGAUCGUCUCGUCCCUCCUACCGUCCCGUGAUAAAGAUACAUAACUUCAUAGACGUCCCUCCGCGGCCUAUGUAGAACUUGGUUGACCCCGACCUAGCUUGCCCCAGCAGCCCUUCGGACCUCCACCUCCGUACGCCGCCGGGUCGGUCCUCCACCUCGUGCUGCCGCGUAGACGGCCCCUCCCUCCACUCCAGCCACCGCGCAGACGGCCCCUCCCUCUACCCCCGUCGACACGAAGGAGGCGGCCUCCCUCCACCCCCGCCGUCACGAACAACGGCCCGUCCUUCCACCACCGCCGCCGCGGACAAUGGACACUACCUCCGGCCCCACCGC
rnacentral:rRNA from 1 species